AAACCCUUUCUUCAUGGAUUGGGAAACCCCAAGGAUCAAAUCAAAUAAUCAAAAUAAAAAUUAGGUCUUCUCUUUCUCUCUGCCUCAUUUUCCAAGCAGGUGGGAAUAAUCCAUCCCACAAACCUCACCGAUCCAAUGACCUCUAAGCUAGUUGCUUCCAAUCUCCGUCACUACAUCACAAAAUCAGCCAAAAACCUCCGCCCGAAGCUUCUCUCCACGGCAGUGGAGGCGGCGGUCCCGGAACACGAUGGGAACAACUCGUCCGGAAUGACGAUGAAGGGCGUUCGAAUCUCCGGAAGACCCCUCUAUCUGGACGUCCAGGCAACAUCCCCGAUGGACCCGCGUGUAGUUGACGCGAUGCUGCCUUUCUAUCUCACUCGUUACGGAAACCCUCACUCUCGCACCCACUUCUACGGCUGGGAAUCCGACGACGCCGUGGAACACGCGCGCGCUCAGGUAGCGUCCCUCAUAGGUGCGUCCCCCAAGGAGAUAAUCUUCACCUCCGGGGCGACCGAGUCCAACAACAUCUCCGUCAAAGGCGUCAUGCAUUUCUAUAAGGACAAGAAGCGGCACGUGAUAACCACGCAGACGGAGCACAAGUGCGUCCUCGAUUCCUGCCGCUACCUCCAGCAGGAAGGUUUCGAGGUCACCUAUCUUCCGGUUGAAUCUGACGGGUUGAUUGAUUUGGAGAAGCUUAGGGCUGCGAUUAGGACCGACACGGGGCUUGUUUCGGUGAUGGCGGUGAACAAUGAAAUUGGAGUAGUUCAGCCGGUGGAGGAAAUUGGGAGAAUUUGCAAGGAGUUUAAUGUGCCGUUUCAUACUGAUGCGGCUCAGGCGUUGGGGAAGAUUCCCAUCGAUGUGGAGAAGUGGAAUGUGAGUUUGAUGUCGUUGAGUGGGCAUAAGGUUUAUGGUCCUAAGGGAGUUGGGGCUUUGUAUCUACGUCGGAGGCCUAGGAUUCGGGUUGAGCCUCAGAUGAACGGAGGUGGCCAAGAGAGGGGGAUUCGGAGUGGUACUGUUCCCACUCCUUUGGUUGUGGGCAUGGGUGCGGCGUGCGAGGUGGCUAAAAACGAGAUGGAUUAUGAUGAGAAGAGGAUUUCUAGUUUGCAACAAAGACUCCUUAAUGGGAUUAGAGAGAAGCUUGAUGGGGUGGUGGUGAAUGGGAGCUUGGAGAGGCGCUAUGUGGGGAAUUUAAAUUUGUCUUUUGCGUAUGUUGAAGGGGAGAGCUUGCUCAUGGGGUUGAAGGAGGUGGCUGUGUCCAGUGGCAGUGCUUGCACUAGUGCUAGCCUGGAGCCUUCGUACGUUUUGAGGGCGUUGGGAGUGGAGGAGGACAUGGCUCACACUUCUAUUAGGUUUGGAAUUGGGAGGUUCACUACCGAAGCUGAAAUUGACAGAGCAGUGAAGCUCACUGUUCAGCAGGUGGAGAAAUUGAGGGAAAUGAGUCCGCUGUAUGAAAUGGUCAAGGAAGGGAUCAACAUCAAGGAUAUUCAAUGGGCACAGCACUGAUCAUUAUUAGCCUUUCCAAUUGCAUUUCAGUACAGGUGAUGGGGAAGGAACAGUGAUUGGACUCCAAGCAUAACUGUCACUAUUGCAAUUGUCGGUUUUCAGAUAUGUCUUAUUAUUUAGCUAUAGAUUGUAUCUCGAGGUUACAUUCUGCAAUUAAAAGUUUACCCUGAUGAUCACAUGACCUUCUCCAAUGCAUCCUAGCUCUCCCACAGCUUAAGGUUUACCUGUCAAGUUUAGCACUAUCUUUGUUCUUGGGUGGUGGAUUAGGGGAUCAAACGCAGAACUGGUACUUAGGGCUGUCGAAGAGAGAGAGGCUCGUGCAAACACUGAGAGGCUUCCAUGGCAAGCGAAGCGCUGGAGAAGCUGAGGGAAAACGCAGAGAAAGAGAACCAGAGAAAGAAGAAGAAGAAACGAGAAAAGAUGACUGAGGAAAGAUCAAUCCGCCCUGAAGUCAAAUUGAUCUCCCUCCAUCAAGUAAGUUAUCACAAAAUGGUGCUCUCUUGGGCUUCCCUAUGAGAAUAAUUUAUCUGCAUGCUUGUACACCGCCGUCGUCGUAAGUUGGCUUUUUGGGUUAUAGGAGCAAAUUCAUGGAUUAAAUAUAAGAAACAAACAGAUAAGCCAUUUCAGGAUGCUGUAUUUUGUAAUGGAAGUUUUUACCUUCUCGAUGAUGGAUUAAAUAUUUGGCAAAUUGAUGUUCGAAGUAUCUACUCUGCCAUUAACAAUGAUGAUGGAGCACUUUCCGAUAUAAAAACACGGAUUUAUGAAGUACAAAGGCCUGGUAUAUUUCAGUUACAACACGACGGGAUAAUAUUACGGAAUCAAGAUACCAAUCAAACUUUUACAUAUCUUGUGGAGUCCAUUGGGAAACUUUUAAUUGUUCGUAGAUAUUUUAAUCUCAAACAAAAUAAAUGGAUUGAGACCAAAAAAUUUGAGGUAUAUGCAAUGGACUUUGAGGAGUUAGCUUGGAAGAAGGUUAAGGAUUUAGGAGAUGAAAUGAUAUUUUUGGGAAAAUGUUGUUCAACAUCCUUCUCUGCAAAGGAACUUGGAGUUGAAAUUAGAAACAGCAUUUACUUAUGCAAUGAUCAAAUGGAUCCUUGGGCGAAUGAAUGGGAUUUUAGUCAUGUAAAACGUAAAAUGACCCGUUUAGGCUUGAAUAGGACUGAUGUAAACAAUUGGGGCAUUUUCACUUUUGGCAAUGAGGAUGAUGAGCCCUUUUUCUUCCAUGGUGAUAUAGACAUGUGGACAGACACCUGGUUUACUGCUCCUUCAUGGUGGUGCUGUAGAAAUAUUCCUCCAAUAAAAAGGAAGUGAAAUUUAUAUGUCUCGUCAAAUCUAUCAAAGUGGCAGAGAUGUUUCAUCCAUCUCUAUCAUGAAGGAUAUUUUUAUAAUUUGAAUGUCGAUAAUUUUUCUUCAUGUUUGGACUUUGAACAAUGUGUUUUAAUUUAUAUUUAUGAUAUAGACCUCCAAUUUAUUAUAAUUUUAUA